rnacentral:tRNA from 1 species
CAGAGCAUAGCUAAGAUAGGAAAGCGCCUCCCUUACACCGAGACAUCAUCCGUGCAAAUCGGAUUGCCCUGA